AUUGAACGCUGGCGGCAGGCCUAACACAUGCAAGUCGAGCGGUAGAGAGGUGCUUGCAUCUCUUGAGAGCGGCGGACGGGUGAGUAAUGCCUAGGAAUCUGCCUAGUGGUGGGGGAUAACGUUCGGAAACGGACGCUAAUACCGCAUACGUCCUACGGGAGAAAGCGGGGGGAUCUUCGGACCUCGCGCCAUUAGAUGAGCCUAGGUCGGAUUAGCUAGUUGGUGAGGUAAUGGCUCACCAAGGCGACGAUCCGUAACUGGUCUGAGAGGAUGAUCAGUCACACUGGAACUGAGACACGGUCCAGACUCCUACGGGAGGCAGCAGUGGGGAAUAUUGGACAAUGGGCGAAAGUCUGAUCCAGCCAUGCCGCGUGUGUGAAGAAGGUCUUCGGAUUGUAAAGCACUUUAAGUUGGGAGGAAGGGUAGGUAACCUAAUACGUUGCUACUUUGACGUUACCGACAGAAUAAGCACCGGCUAACUUCGUGCCAGCA
rnacentral:rRNA from 1 species